AGUGGCGGACGGGUGAGUAACGCGUAAGAAUCUAACUUCAGGACGGGGACAACAGUUGGAAACGACUGCUAAUACCCGAUGUGCCGCAAGGUGAAACCUAAUUGGCCUGGAGAAGAGCUUGCGUCUGAUUAGCUAGUUGGUGGGGUAAAGGCCUACCAAGGCGACGAUCAGUAGCUGGUCUGAGAGGAUGAGCAGCCACACUGGGACUGAGACACGGCCCAGACUCCUACGGGAGGCAGCAGUGGGGAAUUUUCCGCAAUGGGCGAAAGCCUGACGGAGCAACGCCGCGUGAGGGAGGAAGGUCUUUGGAUUGUAAACCUCUUUUCUCAAGGAAGAAGUUCUGACGGUACUUGAGGAAUCAGCCUCGGCUAACUCCGUGCCAGCAGCCGCGGUAAUACGGGGGAGGCAAGCGUUAUCCGGAAUUAUUGGGCGUAAAGCGUCCGCAGGUGGUCAGCCAAGUCUGCCGUCAAAUCAGGUUGCUUAACGACCUAAAGGCGGUGGAAACUGGCAGACUAGAGAGCAGUAGGGGUAGCAGGAAUUCCCAGUGUAGCGGUGAGAUGCGUAGAGAUUGGGAAGAACAUCGGUGGCGAAAGCGUGCUACUGGGCUGUAUCUGACACUCAGGGACGAAAGCUAGGGGAGCGAAAGGGAUUAGAUACCCCUGUAGUCCUAGCCGUAAACGAUGGAUACUAGGCGUGGCUU
rnacentral:rRNA from 1 species